UUGUCCCAUUGUACGAAAGAAUGGCAUGUACUUUCUUGGUGCUGUAGCCACAGAUAUCAGGUCCAAACAUGAUGCUGCAACCAAUCAACAUAACAAAAAACAUAUGUAAAUUGAACAAUAAUAUUGUUGAGGGUCAGACCCCAACACAUCCAGUAUUGUCCCCGACUAUACUGAAAGCUCGAGUGAGUUCAAAGAGUGAUUUUGCUGAAAAUCCAAGUGCCUAAAGAGGCAACAGGUUCACAGAGUGGGAGCGCCCAAUAUUUGAUGUGUUGGAGGUCCGGCCCACAAUAAAUAUCUAUUAGAAAUGUGAAUAGGUUGGAUCAAAGGGCAUGCGCCAACCUAUACGGGGUGUCACCGCCAAAUUUCUUCUGGUCAACAUCAGCACUGAGCAACUUCAUGUAGCCACCACCACAGUCAAGCUUCUGCUCGUGCUUCACAGAAAAUUGGAAGACUAGAGUCUUGCCCUUGUUGUUAACUUCUGGGAACUCAGCAGAAAUAGCAUAAAACCUGUAGUCUUCACUAGUUUGAAUACCUGUGCAAAAUGCAGAGCCAUAGGUAACUAACUUGAAACAUAGCCUUUAUCUAUACCAAGUUAUGAGUAAUUCCAGAAGGUUACCUUUGUCAUUAGGAUCUCCAUUCCAUUUUCCAGAAGUGUAAUUCCAUUCUCCAGCCAUGUUCUCAUCUUUCUUCCAGUCAGAUUUUACCCAACGACUUUCCCAUCCAUCUAAAGUUUCAGGACAAUAAAAAAGCAAAAUCGGCCAAAAGAAGUACAAUUAAGCUUUUUGGAAUAAAUGAAACCUAAAAAAAGUACAAUUAAAGCAAAAAUAGCUUCCUUGAAAUAAGUUCUCACUCAUUUGUUAAAAAGAGUACAGAAUCUAAGGAAUGCAACAAGAAAUAGUACGCUAAACAUGUACAAUUUCUGGUCUGCUCUGAUAUCUAUCCAUGCAGCGGAUUUUUUCCCUCUCACAUUUCUCAAAGUUAAAAAGUUUUCAUCCCUUAUCGCUGUCUUACAUAAACAAAUACUUGACUCACAAUUACUAAUAAAAUGAAGGAAUAAAAUAAAUAAUAAAUAAACGCAGAACAAUAUAUUAAUCACCAUUUCUUUCUAUCAUCCUCUACAGUUACAGUCUUACAGAUCAAACUGAAACAUUAGUGACCGUAACAUUCACUGUCAUUUCUUAUCGCAAUUAAACUACAUUUCUAAAGCUAAUUUUAUUCUGAAAAAAAAAUUAGAACUGUAUUAGGAAGUCAGAUCAUCUGCUGAUCUACUCGAAUUAAUUGCAUUUCUAAACUAACUAAGUAUUGAGGAAGGAAACAAAUAAAAACAACCAGAUUGGCAACAUAAAACAUAUAAAUCUUUUAUCCGUACAAAUUAGAUCAAAUUGGAAGCUAAAACAUCUAAAAUAACAUAUACAAAUGACAAAAAGCAAGUCGAUCUAAAGGUAAUCGAAAACCGAGAAAUGAGCAAAGAAAAAAGAUUACCUUCGAAGCGUUCUUCGAAGAAAACUUCAGCAGAGGCGAUGGCGACGAGAGAGAGGAGAAUAAGAGAGACGAAAUUAGGGAACCGUUUGUGACUCGCCAUGGUUGUACUCAUCACCGAGAAAAAAGAAUAAGUAGAGCUGCGGACCGAGGGCGAGGCCGAUUCUGGGUUCCUCUACAUGUUCGUUGAAUUCACUGCCUUUUGCGGUCCCGUUAAAAAUGAGGUAUUUGCUAAAUCUGACGUGGGCCAAUGAUUGGUGGACAUGUCAUUCAUUAUUAGGUUGACGUGGCAUACAACUAUUGGAAAAAAAGUUCGGCAUGACAUGUAGGAAAGUUUCUGCUUGUUUGGCUAGAAGUUUAAGGAGUAAUGUUCUAGAAUUUCAAUUUAUUUGCAGUUAUUUUGCUCGUGUAGUAGUAUCCGUUUACAAACGCAAAUGUUAAAUAGGCAACAAUUUCAAUGUUUUAUCAGCGAUAUAUAUUGAUUUUAAAAUAUACUUCUUCCUUAUUAAAAAAAAUAAGUUUAUUCAUAGGUCGAGUCUAAACAUUAUAUUAACAUAUUUUAUAUUUACUUAAGGCUUGACCCGAAAUAUAGAUUUAAAAUUUUGCCCAAACUCAGUCAUUUUAUAAAAGGCUAAUCUAAGCUCGUUUCAGACCCCACUCAUUUUAUUUUUUAAUUUUUUUAAAAAUAUUUAUAUUAUUUUAAUUUAAUCUUUAAUAAUUUAAUAUUUUUUUAUUUAUUAAAAUUUUUUAUUAGUCAUCUUAACAUUUUUCUAAUGUCUACAUUAGAUUAGUAUUAUAUACUUAGUAUAGAUUUAUUUUUUGUGUUAUAAAUUGCAUAAUACAUAAAAAUAUUAUAAAUCCAAAAAUGAUCGACUUGGGCCUUGAAUUUUUAAACCCAAGCCCGAUCCAUAUUUUAAGCGGGCCUAAAUUGAUUGCCCAAAUCCAUUUUUCGGACAUAAUGUUUUUGCUCAAACCUACUCAGAUUUUGGGCGAAUUUUUGAGUCUGGGUGGGUAGCCUGAUCGAUGAACAGGACUAUUUUAAAAUAAAACAAAAUAAUUAUUCAAAAUAAAAUAAAACAAAACACUCAUAAAUACCCUUAAGUAUUUGUCAAUUUUAAAUUUUGACAGAUUAGUCCAUUUAAAAAAAAGUGUAAUUAAGUUUUUUUUUCCUUUAUCAAAUGAUAGUGUUAAUUAUUUCCAUUAAUACAUGACAUGUAUAUGUUAAUUAUUUCCAUUAAUACAUGACAUGUAUAUGUUAUAAACUAGAGGAGAAUUUAUGAUAGAUAAAGAAUUGAUAGAGAAAAUCCGGUACAUUAAAAUUGAAAUAAUAAUCGUUUUACAUAUAGUUUUACAUAAUAAACCAAGCUAAAAUUCAGAUGUAAUUUGUUGUUUAAAUACUUGUGAACUUAUUAAGUAGUUGUAAUGCUUACUUCAUUGUUUCCCUUUCUCUGUAGAUGGCCAACUUACGGAACGUGUCAAGCGAAUCGUACGGAGUUCACAUUAUCCCACCUAUUGAAUUGGUAGUUUUUGAUAGUUUUAAGUUUAGAAUUGUGACAUGCAUAUAGGUGUCUUGACGUGUACAAGACUUGUGAUGUGUUUGUAGUAAUGAAUUUGAUAUAAAUCUAUAUGUGAGCUACUUGUUGAUUUUACAUGUGAUUUAAAGAUGCAUGAAUUGCCAAUUGUGAUGCCUAGUUGAAUGAAUAUCUUGAUUAGUAUAUUUGUUUGACAUGGUUGAAACAUAUGUGAUGAAUGGUUAAUGGUUGAAUUUGAGGAAGUUAAUGUUUAUAUGUAUGUAAGUUGGUAUGGUAAGAGCUUAUACAUGUGACACUUAACUGACUUAUAACUUGGUGAAUUGAUGUGGUAAUGUUGGUUGAUUGUUGAAAUGGCAUGAUUGUAUAAGUUGAAUAUGUCAUGGUAUAGAAUUAGAUGAUAUUGAAUCGCUUAUAGGCAUGUUGGCAUAAUUUGAGCUUCAAUGGAUGAAAUUGGUAUGUUUUGUUAAGAAAUGGUGUCAAUUUGUGGUAUAUUGGGUUGGUUGAUUUUGAGAAUGUUUAAAUGGAUGUCUUGGUAUAUGUUUUGGGUUGUUUUUGUACAGGCUUAAGUAUGCACCAAAUAGGUUAUUGGUUUGGUUUGACAUGAAAUAGGUAUCAAAAUGACCAAAAUUUACCAAAAAUAGGAUCCUUGUCACGAUGUGGUAUAUCCCUCGUCACAAUGUCGGCCAACAAUUUGUAAUGUCGCAACGUCGUGUGGUUCGAUGUUGUAAUGUGACAAACUGUUUGGUGACGUCACGAUGUGGAGAUAGUGACAUCACAACGUUGAGCUCAAAUUUUCAAAACCUUACAAUUUGAUCCUAAUUCGUGCUUGGGUCAUUAAAAGAGCUUCUGUAAACUCGAUUAAUGUUCGAAUUUAAUUAUGUAUAUUAAUUUCUAGAUGCUAUUGUAUCACCUUUUCUUUUUAGAAUUUUUUUCAGUGAAGUUGUAUUUCUUUCGAUCCAAAAAAUUAAUAUUAAUAAUCAGAAAUUAAAACUGAUUUAUUAAAAAAGGCAAAGAUUGAAUAUCUGCAAUUUGUAAAAUUCAAAAUUGAAAUCCAAUAUAUAAUCUAUUUUAAAAUCCAAAUUUAUUAAUUAUCUAAAAUCACCUGUUAUAGGAUUGGUGAAUGUGUUGUGAUCACAUUUUAGUUUACACCAUUAUUGUGCAAGUUCACUAAUUAUGCAAUGGUAUGACCGUCAAACAAUCUUUCGGAACUUGCAAUUGAUAAACCGGGGAACUUGAAUAGUAAAAAUAUCUAGUCAUCAUAAAAAAGAAAAAGAGCAUGCCUUUGUUCUGACAGUUAAAAUCAUAUUAAGAAAGCAUCAGUGAAAGUUCUUUUGCCUGAAGCAUUCAAUUCCUUUUUCCUCUAACAGGAAACUCCUAAAACUAGAACUCUUUUUUAAAUAAAGGGUAGGAAAAAAUUUAGGCGUUUUUAUCUCCAAACCGAAUUGUCAGCGAGACAUUGCAGUGCUUAGAGCUCAUCCUGCAUACACAGAGCACAUUCAUAGAUCAAUUAAACAUAAUAAAACUGAUUAGUGAAGUCAUGACAUCAAAAUAACUACUUACAUGUGCAUCUUCCUUGUCCUCAUCGUCUGAUUUGGUAUCGGAAUCAGACUCGUGCCCUUCAGUAUCAUCGGCAUCAUCUUCAUCCUCAGCCUGGAAAAACACACGAAACAUAAUCAAAACCAGAACAAUGAUGAACAGACGGAUCACAUUUUUAAGAAGGCAUGUUUCAUGCUUACAUCGGAAUCAACUGGGUCAUCCUUUGAUUCCUGAACAUCAAUGUUUUCAUUAGUUAGAAAGGAAAUGCAAUUGAACUAGAAAUAAGACAGAAAUAAGAUGGCUUCUAGUCAUGAAAAUACCUCCUCCUCUCUCUUUUUCUCCGCCUCCUCAAAUGAUGCCUUUUCAGCCUGCAAAAAUAGCCAGUAACGUCAGUCAAAUAUGACAAACAGAGCUAUAAGAAAGAGAAAAAAAAAACAAAGAUGCACAUACAUCCUUCUGCUUGCCCCAUGUUUCUUCAGCUAGUUUCUUGGCAUACUCUACAUCAUCAGCAACUAAGAUGUUAUCAAACAUUGUUCCCGAUUUCACCUGAAAAAACACAGACAUUUGUCUCGUUAUAGAGCUCUAAAAUGGUCCAGAAAGAUAACGGGCUAGGAUUUAGGCUAAAGAGUACCUGCCACAAUUCAAUACCGACAUACUUCAAGGUGGGGAAAACAUAGAGAUCUGGAUCAUCCUUGAAAUCUGAGGGUCAUAGAAAAGCACAGAAUUACAUGAAUUAAGAUAAAACUUCUUGUUGUUCAUAUAAAAAGAAAAAAAGGCACAACAGAAAUGAGCUAGCAAAAAACCUGGGUUGUCAAUCAUUGGUGCCUUCCACUUGCCCUUGUAGUUGGGGUUCUUGAUUUUCUGCAAAAUGAGGAAAAAGAGUUCCAAGUUACUAACUAAAAAAUCAUGAUAAAUGCAGCAAUUAGGUAAGGAUAUCACAAACCUUUGGCUUCCAUUGGCCCUUGUACUCCGGGUUGGGAAUUGUUGAGGGUGUCCAUUCACCAUCUUCUUCAUCAUCCCAAUCUUCAGGCUGGGUAAAUGAUUUUAAUCAAUACUCUUUAGCUCAAACAAGGCAUACUAUUUCAUGAUAAAAUAAUCCAAAAAGUAAUAAAUGACUACCUUCUUAGCAUCGGGAUCAGGAAUCUCUUUUGGAAUGUCAUCAUAACCCUAUCGUAUGUAAAAAAACUAGAAGUUAGCUUGCUCAUGCAUCUUUAGGCGCAGUAUAUGCAAUGUAGGAUAAGAGAAUGUUAUUACCUCUGGCUUUUUGUCUUCAGGAUCAGGGAUGUAUUCCUUGUCAUCCCAAUCUUCAGGCUGCCCAUCGUGCAAAAUACUUAAGUUGCGUAUUCAUAAUUCAUAUGAGAAAAAAGUAAACCAAAAAAUAUAUCAAUUGUUAUAGGGUGCGACCAAUUACCUUCUUGGCCUCAGGAUCCUUGAUCUUCUUUGGUGGGAGGAGAUCCCAAUCAGUGUAUAGGCUACCAGUUUGUUUCUCAACAUUAUCAAUAAGGAUGCUGUAGGUAGCAUCUGGACGGAGAAUGAAUGUAUAAACAUGAGUGAGUUGGUCAGUCUCGCAAGGAACUUCCUUUUUGAUCAAGUGAUUUGUCCCAUUGUAUGUAAGAAUGGCAUGUACUUUCUUGGUGCUGUAGCCGCAAAUAUCAGGGCCAAACAUG
rnacentral:lncRNA from 1 species